CCUACGGGCGGCAGCAGUGGGGAAUAUUGGACAAUGGGCGAAAGCCUGAUCCAGCCAUGCCGCGUGUGUGAAGAAGGCCUUCGGGUUGUAAAGCACUUUCAGUGGGGAAGAAAGCCUUGGGGCUAAUACCCUCGAGGAAGGACAUCACCCACAGAAGAAGCACCGGCUAACUCCGUGCCAGCAGCCGCGGUAAUACGGAGGGUGCGAGCGUUAAUCGGAAUUACUGGGCGUAAAGCGCGCGUAGGCGGUCUGAUAAGCCGGUUGUGAAAGCCCCGGGCUCAACCUGGGAACGGCAUCCGGAACUGUCAGGCUAGAGUGCAGGAGAGGAAGGUAGAAUUCCCGGUGUAGCGAUGAAAUGCGUAGAGAUCGGGAGGAAUACCAGUGGCGAAGGCGGCCUUCUGGACUGACACUGACGCUGAGGUGCGAAAGCGUGGGUAGCAAACAGGAUUAGAUACCCCUGUAGUC
rnacentral:rRNA from 1 species